rnacentral:rRNA from 1 species
UAGAGUUUGAUCCUGGCUCAGGACGAACGCUUGCGGCGUGCCUAACACAUGCAAGUCAACUUGACUGAAGGAGCAAUCUGACAGUAGAGUGGCGCAAGGGUGCGUAACGCGUAAGUAACUUGCCCCAAGGUAAGGAAUAACGUCGAGAAAUCGGCGCUAAUACCUCAUAAUGCAGCGGAUCCGCAUGGAUAUGUUGUUAAAGGUUUACCGCCUUGGGAUAGGCUUGCGUCUGAUUAGCUAGUUGGUGUGGUAACGGCACACCAAGGCUACGAUCAGUAACUGGUCUGAGAGGAUGAUCAGUCACACUGGAACUGAGACACGGUCCAGACUCCUACGGGAGGCAGCAGUGAGGAAUAUUGGGCAAUGCUCGAAAGAGUGACCCAGCAACGCCGCGUGGAGGAUGAAGGUAUUCUAUAUCGUAAACUCCUGUGAGAGCAGACGAAAGACAGAUUAUUAAUCUGGAUGACUGUAUGCUCAGAGGAAGCCCCGGCUAACUACGUGCCAGCAGCCGCGGUAAUA